UCAAUACGCGGUCUUUUUUGACAGAUCUUCACUGAUUCGAAAACGUAGAAUUAUCUUCCAAAGCUACCACGAAUAAUUUUUUGAUACUCUGUACAUGAAAUAUUUUGAGAUUUAAGAAUUUCGUUGAUGCUUUAAGCAUUGACUAAGGAGAGGAUAGACGUGGCAUUAAAUAGAAAUUUAUUUCAGUUUCUCUAAUAUCGACGAGGAAAAAAAUCAGAGUACAUAUUUCUUACGCCCUCUGUUAUUUAAUACGGUGAACGUAGGACUUAUGAUCAACUUAAUCAUCAAAUGCGAUGAAGAGAUAAGCCUCGAUUACAUGCAAUUCAAUACACAAUAAAUAAUAUCGGCCGGUACUGAUAAACUUCAACUUGGUUUAUAUGUCUCGCAUCGUACAUCACCCAGAAUAUAAUGGAUCGAGGUUAACGAAAAGAAACGAAUAAAAUCUAGUUCACUUAUGUGAAUUAUUGCAAAGCUAUAUUCAAUUCGACGGGCAGAAACGGGAUAACAUGAGCGGAAAUGGGAUAAAAAGUGUAAGGAAAUGCGAAGUUCGAAUACCUGGUUCGACCGCCUGUUUUUCGUUACCUUCGGAUAUGAGAAAAAGAAAGCGUCAAUAUUAAAGGCGCCGUAAAUUAAUCCCUCAUUCGCAUGGUGUGUGGACCAGCGGUCCCAACGUCUUGCGAUUGUGAUUGCCUGGGUUCCGUCAUGCUGGGUUCUAGUGAGAGAUAGCGAAGUCACUUAGGGAUGUUGAAAGGGACCCUCUCCCUCGCUAGCGCACAGGCUGACGAGCUUUAAUCUUCUUCGCGGCUGUGACGCCGAGGGUACCCAAGCAUUCUUUGCACAAUCGUCACAGUGGACAAACGUAAAAUUAAAAUCAUGCGAGUUCGUCAUUUUUCGAGUUUGCAGAACGUGCUACAAACAGGAUUAUCGUGAAUUCGCUUUUAAUGCUUCUUAUAAACAGAUGAAAACAGAAACAAAUGGGAGAAAACGGGAGGACGCUAGUGAAAAUGGGCAGAAACGGGAAAAAUCUCGCGAAAACAAGAGGAAACUGACAGAGACGCUAACCCGUCUAUACAAUGGAUCCCCAGUCAACACUUGUUAAAAUUUUUUAUGUACAUAUUAUAUACAUUCACACAUGCUAUAUGUAUAUUUGCUUUUCAAAUUAAAGUAAAUGUAGGAACUGUU